UGUCUCUUUAAUGAAUUUUAGUUGGUUAACAUUGAAUUGAUGAGAAAAGUGAUUCUGAUUAUGGAUACUGUGAAAGUAAUUAUUAAAUAUAAAAGUUCAAAAAUACAUGAUAUUGGGUUUAGAAAUGAAAAUUUGAAUUGAGACUGAGAAUUGUCUUAGGAAUGAAACGCUAAAAAUAUAUGAAAUUAGAUGGCUUAGAUUAAGCAAAGAAUAAAUCCUAAAUGCCAAAGAUACGGAGGGAAUGUUAUAGCCUACGGUGAAAAGUGCCGAAAAGUUGACAAAAAGCCUAGAUGGCAAAGUUACGGAGGGAAUGUCAUAUAGCCACGGUGAAGUCCGAAGAAAUUGAAAAUGAACGUCCUAGAUGGCAACGAUAGGAGGGAAUGUCAUAGCCCAACGGGUGAGUUCGGGAAGUUGACAAAAUAAAGUUCCUAGAGUGGCAACCGAUACGGCAGGGGAAAUAUCAGAGCCACGGUGAAAGUCCGGAAGUUGAUGGGUGUUAUCCUCACGUGCUUAGUGGCAAAUAAGAUGGGUAGGUAUUGGUCUAAAUGGUAUUCUAAAUUAUUGGAGUAGAGGAUAAUGCCUGAGGAAAAGUUGUGAAAAUUUUUGGAAACAUGUUGAAUUGAGAAAUCACGGAUGAAAAUCAAAAAGUAUAGUUUGAUAUAAAAUGAAAGCAUACUUUAUAGUAUCAAUGUUUGUAUAGUAUAGUUAUGUAUCAUGGUUUUGGCUAUCGAAGCAUUCAAGUCCAUUUUAAAUCUUUUCAAGGUAACUCACAUUACUAUAAAACAAAAAAUUUUUCAGGUACGAGGUUUAUACUGAGUCUGAGGCAUGUGGAUGCCAGUUUUGAUGUUUAAUGUUGAUAAACAUAUUAAGUGUAAUUAGAUUUUGUAAUAGUAUUUUCGCCACUCUGAUGUAAAUGAUAGUGUAUUGUCAUUUUUAUUAUUUGACUUUUUUGGCAUGUGAGUUGUUUGCUUACAAUGGCCCGGGUCUUGGUUUUUGACCGGGGGCGUGACAACAUGUAUCAGAGCUCUAGUAUCGAAUACCUAUGAGCCGUGGGGUGGGUUUACCACGUUGUGUUUAAAUGUUAAGUAUUGAGAGUGUAACGUUGAGUGUACUAUCUAUGUGAGAGGGAUAACAUGAACGUACAUGCUACAUGUUAUUAAAUUGCUAUGGUAUAGCAAUGUUAUGACUCAUAAUGAGGUAUGAUUAGCUUAUUUUUUUUUUGUGGCAUUUUGUUAAACAUGCCACCACGCCACGCGAAGAGGUCGUCGAAUCACUUACGGGAGCUCGUGGGGCACGUGGACCACGCGGGGCUUUUAGGAAUCUCGAUGGACAAAAGGAGGAUCACCAAGAGUCGGUGAUGGGAGGAAGGCAAGUGUCUCCUGUAAGAAAUAUAGGGAAUGUGGAGGUGCUCCACCUACAACUUUGGGUGGCGCCAAAAAAAUUUAUGCAGGAGUGUUCACCGUCCUUGAGCAAGUGGUGAUAAACCCUUGUGCAAACUAUGCAGUGCCAGUUAUAACGGCAGAAGUAGGGCGAACCACGCCUGACGGCCUUUCUUCCAUUCCUCCACCAACGUUUCCAUCAAAAGGGAGAACCGAAUCCGUUAGUUUGCGAAAGAUUGGCUUGCAAGUCACAAGGCAUUGAUAAAAUCUUGGUGCUGAGGAGCGACUUGAGGGUGUUGUUUGCAAUCCUAUCAACUGCAGGGAUUAUGCCCUCCAAUGGUGGAAGACCAUGGAGGAAGUGUAGCAAGAAGUGGGAAGCCUUUCAAUAAAGCUUUCCUAGUCAAUAUUUUACGGAUACGGCUAAAGGAGGCGUUAAGGAUGGAAGUUUAUUAAUUUGGUUCAAGGGAGCAUGAACUGUGGCUCAAUAUGAGACCAAGUUUACUAAGCUUGUCAAGAUUUGCCAAAGCUUUGUAAUCAACGGAAGAGGAGAAAGCAAAACAGUUUAUGCGGGGGCUUAGGCCAUCCAUAAGUAAUAAGAAAUUGGCCGGAAAUUUGAUCAAAUUUACUCGCCUAUGGUUAGCGCGGCGGCGGCCACGAGGAGACCUUUGAAUGAGACUAGGAAAAUUCAAAAUCCUAAGUCACAGCUGAGGGAAACUAGCAAUCUCGGCAAGGUGCAUUCUUUUAAGAAGCCCAAGACCUUACUGCACAGGCAACAAGUAUCCUACGAGGUCUUACUAUUUUACCCGCCACAUCUGUUCUAUCAUCGGCCACACAUCUCGGGGAGGGCCGAUUUGUUUUGGUUUGUUAUCAACCGGGUCAUCGUAUAGUGCGACUGCCACUGCACGAAUCAGCGGUGGGACAAUCUCACAUCAGCAAGGGACAAUCACUAGUCCAUGGGGCCACCUACCUGUUAUCUAUGUGGUCAGGUGAUCAUAUCCAAUCGACAGUGCACGCAGAGGGAAGAACAUUUUAUGAGCUACGGGAUCCGCAACACCUCCUUCGUGCAGUGUCAUGCCUCGAGGGCUACUCCCAGCCUUUACAAUCAGCACACAGACUUUCAUAUCAGUCCAGACCACAGGCUGUAGCUAAGCAGGGUCAGAGUACGCAGGACGGGUUUACGCUAUAAUCAGCAGCGGGACCGUCAUGGAUAUCUGGACAGCAGGAGCAACAAUUGGAUACCUCGUUGUGCGAGGUACUUACUAUAUUUAAUUCGUGGGCCUCGUGUCUCAUCGACACGGGAUCAUACAAUUCAAUUCAUCUCAUCAUCUUUUUGCUUUGGCAAUUUGGGAUUGAGAUUGAUGUACUAGAUGCAUCCAGUGCUUAUGUUCGACACUCAGUCCGGGGGUAUAUCGCCUUUUGAAGAGAGUUUGUCGAUCUUUGCUGAGGUUUAAAUUGAUCGACGUUUUUCGUGUUUGAUUUUAUUGUAUUAGACAAUGACUUCGUUUGACGUAAAUCCUUGGUAUUGAUGGUUGACUCGGAUAUUGGGCCAUGAGUGCUAUGUCCGAACCCUUGUUACCCUUUUGUAUACCCGAGCGAGGUUGGGGUAUACAGUGUUUUGCGAUGCUUCACGUUGACUGGCUUGGGUUGCAUGUUGAUGGACAGUUGGUUAAAGUGAUUGCGUAUUGGUUUCUCCCGUCAAUUGAAAGACUCACGAACAAAUUUCCGCCUCAAUGACUUUGGACUUGCGGUCGUUAUCUUACUUUUGAAGAUUGGAGGCAAUUACUUUACUGAGAGCGGUUUGAAUUGUUUUCAGACCACAAGGUUUGAAGUACUUUGUUUACACAGAAAGACUUAACGUGAGUAGGCAACGACUUUUUUGGAUGUAGUACAUGAAGACUAUGAUUUGGAUUUUAACAAUAUCAUCGCCCGGAAAGGCUAACGUUGUGGCCGAUGCACUUAGUAAGAAGCGCUUGGGUGUUUGGCGAGCAUUUCCAUCCAAUGAGUGGAAAAUUCUUCAAGAUAUCGGUGAGUUGAUUUACUUUAUCCGGCGAGAACAACAUUUUGCUACGUGUAUUCACAUUGUCUCAGAGCCAUCAAUCAUUGUAGGUCAUUGAGGCAACAACAGCAAGAUGUGGAAGCAAAGACUAUUUGUGACCGUAUUGCUAGAAAUAUAGGCCCAACAAUUGGGUUUUACAUGAGGAAGAGUUUAGAAUAUAAGUCCUAUAUUUUUGUGCCAUUGUCUUGUAGAGACGAUGUUCUUAAAUGAUUUCAUCUCACGACUUGCAGUUCCUCCUGAAGGUACAAAGAUUAUCAUGAUUUGUGGUCGCCAUUUUGGUGAGCGAAUGAAGAAAGAUGUUGCUUUAUUUCGUUUUGAGGUGUUUGACUUUGUCAGUAAGUGAAAGCCAAACACCAAAGCCAGCAGUUUGGCUAAAACCAUUACCAGUUGCAGAGUGGAAAUGGGAGACCAGCACUUGGACCAUUUGGUUACGGGUUUGCCUGAUCAUUGAGAGCAUGAUGCCGUUUGUGUCAUAGUGGAUCGUUUGACAAAAUUCUCGCUUUUCCUGUUCCUUCUUCCCAUCCUUUUGUCAAAUUCGGCAGCAGAUCUUGGUGUUCUUUAGUUCGAGAGAUCGUUAGAACGUCAUGUGGUGUUUCCGGUAUCUAUCGUUUCGGAUAGAGAUCCACGUUUUGAAUAUCGCUCUGUGGAAGGGAUGCAUCCGCCCAUAAGGAUCGGAUUUGAGGCUUAACACGGGGCGUUUCACAUCCUCAAGCUGACGGGCAGUCUGAGCGCAGCGAUUCGUAUUUUGGAGGCAUGCUUCGAGUCAUGCGUACUUGAUUUUGGGGGAUCAUGGGAGAUCAUCUACAUUUGGUGAGUUCGCAUAUAACACUAGUUAUCAGGCGGAUUAUCGUAUGGCACCUUUGAGCUUGUACGGAAGACCAUCGGUAGGGUCACGGGUCACCCGUGGUGUGUACCGACGUUGGAGAGGAAGUACUUGCAAAUUCAAUAAUAGGUUCGUGAUACACUGAGAAGGUAGUAUUGAUUAGAAACGUUUACUCACGCGCAGAUUCUUCAAAAGAGUUAAUGGCCGAUCGGAGGAAACAUCAUUUGGAAUUUGUCGUUAGGAUCUACAGUAUUCCUUGAGGGUUUUCACCUAAAGAGGGGUUUGAUGUGGCGUCGGGCAUAAGCGGCAAGCUAUCACACCAAGAUUCAUUGGACCGUUUGAGAUUCUGGAUCGUAUUGGGCCGUGCCAUAACCGUCUGCCUUGGCACCGGAGGUUUGGCCCAAUGUGCACAAUGUGUUUUCAUGUGUUCCAUGUUGCGGAAUAUGAGCUCGAUCCUUUCCCACGUUUUUUGGAUUGGGGAGAUCUUGACGUCAAUGAGGAUGUCCGUAUGAUGAAAGCGCGAUUCGUAUGUUGGACACGAGGGAUCAUAGUUUUGAGAGGAAAGACUAUUCCAUUGGUGAAGGUUCUAUGGCUUCAUCAUGCAUAGAGGAAGCUACAUGGGACGUGAAUCGAGGUUCGGCAAAUAUAUCCACCGGAUCUUUUUUGACCAAUCGGGUACGUUUAUCUAAUUUUUCGAGGACGAAAUUUCUUAUAGUGGUGAGGUUGAAGGUUUUCAAUUUUUAUAUUUAUAAAUUUUGGACUUUUUGCUUGAUGUAUUGAGUUUAAAUGGAACGUUCAUGCUUGUGGAUUAAAUGAAAAGAGGACAUUUAAUUGAAUGAAUAUCAAUGUAAAUUAAAAGUUGGAGGGGCUGAAGUGUAAUUUUGAAUAAAAAUAAUUGAAUUGUGUUCUUGCGCUCAAAAGCAUCGGCGCCGAAAGGAAAAGAGAAAGGAAAAGAAAAAGAAAAAAAAUAAUAAAAUAAUAAUAAUAAUAUUUAUAUAUAUAAUAUAAUUUAUCAAUUUAAUAAAUAGGAAAUUAGAAGGCUCUGAUGAAGGGAAGAAGUGAAAGGAAAGAUAAGAGAGAGAAAAGAAUGAGAGAAAUUAUAUGAGUGAGGUUAAGUUUUGAUCACGAAAGAUGGGGUGCAAUCAACGGUGAGAUGAUGUUGCUCAAUGCAAAAAGUUUUUAGUAUGAUGAUCAUGGAAGCCUGAUCUUCAUAUCCGACGGUGGUUAAUUUUCUAUUUGAGGUAAAGGGGGUUAGUUUGUUUGGGUUUUUACUUUGGUUUAAUCGUUAAUAGCUUAUAUAAAGUCUAUUAGAUAUGAUUUUUUUGUAUUAAACUUAAAUGGAAAAAAAUUCGUUUUGAUGAUGUAUAAAUUAUUUUUAUCGAAACAUUCAGAGAUCGAAUGUUAAAAUUUUCAUCUAAAAUUUUUUGGCUUUAAGAUCAAUUUAUUGUCAAAUUAAAUGCUCAUAAAGCUUAUAAAAAUAUUUGACAGUAAUUACAUUGAAAUUGUCUCUUUAAUGAAUUAUGUGGUUAUAUGAAUUAAUUGAUAAAGUGAUCUUAUGGAUACUGUGAAAGUAAUUAUUAAAUAUAAAAAAGUUCAAAAAUAAGAUCUUGGGUUAGAAAUGAAAUUUGGAAUGAGAAUGAGAAUUGUCUUAGGAAUGAAACGCUAACAUAUAUCAAAAUUAGCUGGCUAGAGUUAAGCACAGAUAAAGUCCUAAAUGGCAAAGAUACGGAGGGAAUGUAUAGCCCACGGUAAAGUUCGGAAAGUUGACAAUAAAGUCCCUAGGAGGGCAAAGCUACGGAGGGAAAGUCAUAGCCCCCAAACGGGGGUUUUUGAGUCGGGAAAUUGAUAAAAUGAAAGUCCUUAGAUGGCAACGAUACGGAGGAAUGUCCUAGCCCACGGUAAAGUCCGGGAAGUUGACAAAAUAAAAGCCUAGAUGUGCACGAUACGGAGGGAAAGCAAUAGCCCACCGGUAAAAGUCCGCGAAAGUGAUGGUGUAUCCUCACGUGUUAGUGCAUACUAAGACUGGUUAGGUAGUGGUCUAAAUGGUUUAUUCUAAUUAUUGGAGUAAUGCCUGAGAAAAUUUAAAUUUGUGGAAACUGUUGAUUGAGAAAUAAAGGAUUGAAAUCAAAAAGUAUAUUUUGAUCUAAAUGAAACGCAUACUUUAAUUAUCAUGUUUUCAUAGUAGUUAUGUAUCAUGGUUUUGGCUUGACAGCAUCAAGUCCAUUGUUAAAUAUUUCAAGGUAAACUCACCUUUACUAUAAAACAAUGAUUUUCAGGUAACGAGAGUUAUACUGAGUUUGAGGCAUGUGGAUGUAGUGUGCUGUUAAUUUGAUAAACAUAUUUUAUUUAAGUGUAAAUUAGAUGUGAUAAUAUUAUUUUCGCACUCUUAUGUAAAUGGACAGUGUAUUGUCAUUUUUUUUAAUUGACUUUUUCGCAUGUGAGGUGUUUGCUUUACGGGCCGGAUCUUGUUGACCGGGCGUGACAGUUCGAACCACGGUUGAAAACAAAAACCGGUAACCGAACCAAAUUUUACCGGUUCUUAUUUUUGAAAACCAGAACCUUAAUCAUAACCCAUGAACCAAUCCAAAAAGGCACGGUUCGGUUCGUUCGGUCCGGUUCACCGGUUUUCGGAUUUUUUGGGGACACCCCUAAUGUGGAGGAUACUAUCGACCCAUCUCACUUUUGUGAUUCAAUCAAUUUAUCUUUUUUGCUAAUCGUGACUAAGGAUCAAAGUUGUCAAUUCCGGCCAAUGUAUUGUUUGUAUUAUUGAUACGGAACCUGACGGUGUACUAUUUUGGAUUUACUACUAUAUACAUUUCGAAUACAUUUUAUUAAAAUAUAUAAGACCUUAAUUACCAUGAUUUUAACCAUAAAUCUCAAGUUUUUAAGACCUUCAAAUAAAACCUCACAAGUUUGAAGUGAAAAAGACUAUUCUAAAAUACUUUCAACUACAAAAUUUAUCAAGAAGUCCUUUUAAAAUUUUAAAAUUUUUGUAAAUAUCAAUUAUGCCGAUACAAGACGGUACAGACCGAGACGGCCUACUACAAGCCAAUAUUUUAAGCGGUAUGAAAUAUAUAGUUAUGCGACCAUACUAAUUGGUAUGGCCGUAUUGAGUUUGACAAUUCUUAGAAGUAAUGUUUGCUUGACUUAUUAAGUGCGUAAAUAAAAUUUCACUUAACUUCUAGGUUAUUUGUGCUUCUAGUAAAUUUUUAAUAGAAAAAAUUAAAUUGAUCUGAUAACUA
rnacentral:lncRNA from 1 species